rnacentral:rRNA from 1 species
UACGUAGGGGGGCAAGCGUUGUCCGGAAUCAUUGGGCGUAAAGCGCGUGUAGGCGGCUCGGUAAGUCUGCUGUGAAAGUCCAGGGCUCAACCCUGGGGAUGCCGGUCGAUACUGCCGGACUAGAGUUCGGAAGAGGCGAGUGGAAUUCCCGGUGUAGCGGUGAAAUGCGCAGAUAUCGGGGAGGAACACCAAUGGCGAAGGCAGCUCGCUGGGGACGUUACUGACGCUGGAGACGGCGAAAAAGCGUGGGGGAGCAAACAGG